UCCUCUGUAGCUCAGUUGGUAGAGCAUGGUGUUCGCAACACCAGGAUAGUGGGUUCCAUUCCCAGGAC
rfam:Salmo salar isolate Sally breed double haploid chromosome ssa01, whole genome shotgun sequence.